rnacentral:misc_RNA from 1 species
GUAGGUGAACCUGCGGAAGGAUCAUUAUUGAAAUAAACCUGAUAGGUUGUUGCUGGUUCUCUUGGGAGCAUGUGCACGCCUUGUCAUCUUUAUAUCUCCACCUGUGCACCUUUUGUAGACCUGUAUGGUCUAUGUUGCUUCAUUUACACCAAUGUAUGUUGAUAGAAUGUCGUCCUAUAAAAUAUAUACAACUUUCAGCAACGGAUCUCUUGGCUCUC